rnacentral:misc_RNA from 1 species
GAUGAAGAACGUAGUGAAAUGCGAUAAGUAAUGUGAAUUGCAGAAUUCAGUGAAUCAUCGAAUCUUUGAACGCACAUUGCGCCCGCCAGUAUUCUGGCGGGCAUGCCUGUUCGAGCGUCAUUACAACCCUCAAGCCCCCGGGCCUGGCGUUGGGGAUCGGCGGAAGCCCCCUGCGGGCACAACGCCGUCCCCCAAAUACAGUGGCGGUCCCGCCGCAGCUUCCAUUGCGUAGUAGCUAACACCUCGCAACUGGAGAGCGGCGCGGCCACGCCGUAAAACACCCAACUUCUGAAUGUUGACCUCGAAUCAGGUAGGAAUACCCGCUGAACUUAAGCAUAUCAAUAAGCGGAGGA